rnacentral:hammerhead_ribozyme from 1 species
GCACUGCUGAGGAGUCCCAUACUAAGACGAAACGGCCGUCCAGUAC